rnacentral:rRNA from 1 species
CCUACGGGGCGCUGCAGUGGGGAAUAUUGCACAAUGGGCGCAAGCCUGAUGCAGCCAUGCCGCGUGUGUGAAGAAGGCCUUCGGGUUGUAAAGCACUUUCAGCGGGGAGGAAGGCGUUAAGGUUAAUAACCUUGGCGAUUGACGUUACCCGCAGAAGAAGCACCGGCUAACUCCGUGCCAGCAGCCGCGGUAAUACGGAGGGUGCAAGCGUUAAUCGGAAUUACUGGGCGUAAAGCGCACGCAGGCGGUCUGUCAAGUCGGUUGUGAAAUCCCCGGGCUCAACCUGGGAACUGCAUUCGAAACUGGCAGGCUAGAGUCUUGUAGAGGGGGGUAGAAUUCCAGGUGUAGCGGUGAAAUGCGUAGAGAUCUGGAGGAAUACCGGUGGCGAAGGCGGCCCCCUGGACAAAGACUGACGCUCAGGUGCGAAAGCGUGGGGAGCAAACAGGAUUAGAUACCCCAGUAGUC